UUUUCUUCUUGUAUAUGCAAUGUUGAUUGUAUGAGUUUGUAGUUGGCUUUGGCCCACUCAUGUAAAUAUUAGGCUCUUCGUCACACGCUUCUCAUUGGAUAACAACAAUGCAUGAAGAAAUGGAAGCCUGGCAUAGAGAAAAUAUAGUUUCUUCGGUGAGGUUUUCUUGGUGUUUAUAUUCUCCUAAUUUUUGAAAGAGAAUGUAAUUGUUCUCUCACUGUAUUUAGAGAGAGAUCUUAUAAUUUCUUCCACAUAGAUAAAAUUCAUUACUUUUAUCCUGUAGUUAUUUACCUUUAUUUGUUAUGAAUUUUCCAUGCUUUUCUCAUUUGCGUGAUAUUAUUUUUUAUUCUGACACCUAACAAAUAUUUUCUCAAAACGUAGAGACAAUCUGGUUUCUUACUCCACUUUCGAGUUAAAAGGUAGUUUGGCUAAUAAAACAUCUCUAUGUAAUGUGUCUUCCCAUUUAUCAUGUUGUCCCUGACUUACCUGUUAGUAUAGUUCAUGAUGAAACGAAAUUUUUGUUUUUCCUUUAAAAAAAGUGAAAUAUGUAAUUAGUUUAAAAGAAUUAUAAUGAGCCAUAAUCAUAACCAACGUCAUCUUAUUAAUUUAAUUAAAUAACCAUUGUUUCACCAGUUACUGUUUUUCUUAAUAGGUCAUUAUUGUUAUCAUUAUUAUUCUUAUUAUUAUUGUAAUGCAUCAAAUUUGUAAUUAAUUAAUUAAAUUUAAAUGUAAUUUUAGUUUUUUUUAUUUACUGAUUUACAAAUUUAAUCAUUUUAUUUUUGUCUAUAAAAAAUAGUCAUAUUUUUUAAUUUUUUAUCAUCCAUUUCAAUUUUAAUGUAGUACAAUUUAAACCACAAUUUUUAAGUGUUUAUGUUUUAGAAUUGUGAUACUUUUACUCUCAUAUAAGAGUUAAUAUUCUUUAUUAGACAUCAUAAAAAACGGUUCAUGGAUAAGAUUAUAGAAUGACCAAUCUCUUGGGUAUACUUUUGAGCACCCUGAAAGAGUAGCUGCCAAAUAUAAUUAGCAAUCUGAAGUCCACUCACUCAGGUCACUAUUGCUUGCAAUCUCUUCACUUCAAUUUUUCUUUAUUUUUUUAAGGUAAAAUAGUUGAAGGGUCAAAAUUGAUUAUGAAGUGCAUCUAGUGGUGGUGAUGAAAAGACUUGAGUACAUUAAUUGUAUAGAACCUUGAAUGCAUCUAAUCCUAGUCCAACAUAAGUGCUCCUUAAAGCAUUUAUCAUCAUUAUAUAUCAAAUGUCAAACCUAAAAAAGAAGGAUAACAGCAAAGAAGGAGCCAGAAUAAAAUAUUGCUGACUAAAUGAGGUCAUAGUGGAUGUAACAAUCAUAGAUCCAGGAACAAAGUGGGCUCGAUGACACAAGCUUUGUUGGGGGGAAGUGGUGCUUUUAGCCAACAUUUUAAUGCACUUAUAUAUUGUCUUAGGAAGACGCCAAACUGUAAUGGUUUUGCAGAGGCCUGGCUUCAAUCGUAAAACACGUUUGAGACAUGUCUCAUCAAAACAAAGGUGCAUGAUUGUGCCCAACUAUGUUUAGAUGAGAUGGGUUGGGUCUCUUUCAGCUUAUUUAGAGGUAUGUGUUUGAAUCCAGCAUUGAGAAUGCAAGGAGAGUUUUGCUAUCCAUUGUAGUCUUAAAAUUGAACAGGACAGGUUUUCUCAAAUGUUUAUUUUUUCCUCUUGGAUGUUUUUAUUUUGGAGAGGGAAUGAUUAUAGGAUGAAUAAAUUGUAUGUAAAUAUUUAAUGUGAGC
rnacentral:lncRNA from 1 species